AAUUCGAUUAGAGUUUGAUCCUGGCUCAGAUUGAACGCUGGCGGCAUGCCUUACACAUGCAAGUCGAACGGUAACAGGUCUUCGGAUGCUGACGAGUGGCGAACGGGUGAGUAAUACAUCGGAACGUGCCCGAUCGUGGGGGAUAACGAAGCGAAAGCUUUGCUAAUACCGCAUACGAUCUACGGAUGAAAGCAGGGGACCGCAAGGCCUUGCGCGAACGGAGCGGCCGAUGGCAGAUUAGGUAGUUGGUGGGAUAAAAGCUUACCAAGCCGACGAUCUGUAGCUGGUCUGAGAGGACGACCAGCCACACUGGGACUGAGACACGGCCCAGACUCCUACGGGAGGCAGCAGUGGGGAAUUUUGGACAAUGGGCGAAAGCCUGAUCCAGCCAUGCCGCGUGCAGGAUGAAGGCCUUCGGGUUGUAAACUGCUUUUGUACGGAACGAAAAGACUCUGGUUAAUACCUGGGGUCCAUGACGGUACCGUAAGAAUAAGCACCGGCUAACUACGUGCCAGCAGCCGCGGUAAUACGUAGGGUGCAAGCGUUAAUCGGAAUUACUGGGCGUAAAGCGUGCGCAGGCGGUUAUAUAAGACAGAUGUGAAAUCCCCGGGCUCAACCUGGGAACUGCAUUUGUGACUGUAUAGCUAGAGUACGGCAGAGAGGGGAUGGAAUUCCGCGUGUAGCAGUGAAAUGCGUAGAUAUGCGGAGGAACACCGAUGGCGAAAGCAAU
rnacentral:rRNA from 1 species